rnacentral:rRNA from 1 species
UCGGGCUUUGUUUGCGCAGGAUAGGUGGGAGGCGUUGAAGAUUUUCUUGCGGGGAGAUUGGAGCCGUUGGUGAGAUACCACUCUAACAAUGCUAGGAUUCUAACCCUAUACCGUUACCCGGUUAGGGGACAGUUUCAGGUGGUCAGUUUGACUGGGGCGGUCGCCUCCCAAAAGGUAACGGAGGCGUGCAAAGGUUUCCUCAGGCUGGUCGGAAAUCAGUCGUAGAGUGUAAAGGCAUAAGGAAGCUUGGUUGUGAGACCUACAAGUCGAACAAAGACGAAAGUCGGCCUUAGUGAUCCGACGGUUCCGAGUGGAAGGGCCGUCGCUCAACGGAUAAAAGUUACUCUAGGGAUAACAGGCA